UUGAACGCUGGCGGCAUGCUUUACACAUGCAAGUCGAACGGCAGCGGGGGCUUCGGCCCGCCGGCGAGUGGCGAACGGGUGAGUAAUGCAUCGGAACGUACCCAGUCGUGGGGGAUAACUACGCGAAAGCGUAGCUAAUACCGCAUACGCCCUGAGGGGGAAAGCGGGGGACCUUCGGGCCUCGCGCGAUUGGAGCGGCUGAUGUCGGAUUAGCUAGUUGGUGGGGUAAAGGCCUACCAAGGCGACGAUCCGUAGCUGGUCUGGGAGGAUGAUCCGCCACACUGGGACUGAGACACGGCCCAGACUCCUACGGGAGGCAGCAGUGGGGAAUUUUGGACAAUGGGCGCAAGCCUGAUCCAGCCAUGCCGCGUGCGGGACGAAGGCCUUCGGGUUGUAAACCGCUUUCAGCCGGAAAGGAAUCGCUGUUUUUAAUACGGACAGUGGAUAACGGUACCGGAAGAAGAAGCACCGGCUAACUACG
rnacentral:rRNA from 1 species